AAUAUUUAUCUAUAGCUUUCAUUUGAUAUAGUUCUUAAAAAUUCACCUUCAUAUCAAAAUUUAUACGAAAAUGUUUUUACUCGUUAAUUCAAAAUAGAGUUUUUGCACAUAGCAGAUUUUGGUUUGACAACGACAGCGACGAUAAUAUUUUAAAACGGCAUUGGAAAUAAAAUAAUUAAAUACAAUACCGAGCCACAAAUAAGCGGUGGCUAUAGUUUGCGCGUGUUUUUAUUAAUUAUUCAUUUAUUUCUUUAUUUGCACUUCAUGAAUUAUAACGUAUGAUAAUCACAUUAAAAUCGUUAUCAAUACCCAUCGCCCCAACUGCGAGUGUUGCCAAUACAAAAUAAACUGGCGCGCAAAUUGUGCGUGAAUAAACACAGGGGCAUAAUAGAGGUAUUGUGCGUCUCCCCUUGGAUGGCCUGUGAAAACAUUGUACCGAAUGUAUCUGGCGCAGUUGAUCGGAAAACGACGUGCUUCGAUUGCAGUUAGACGGGACAGCUGGAGCUGUUUUUGUUAAAUAAAACAACCUAAAUACGAUUUAAAGCAAAGUUACAUUCAGGUUUUGUAAAAAUAUUAACAUGUAUUCAUGAUUUCACGUUUUGUCUUGGAGUGACGACCUUUAGAUUAGAAUUUUAUGCCAAUUAUUUAAAAAAAAAUACUAAAAAUUGUGGCAUACAUAUUUUUUUGGAGAAGGAAGGUUUACUGGUGGCACAGAGGCCUUCCCAGUUUCACCAGGACAGCUACCCGAGCGCCUCCGCAGGAGACCUAACAACUCAUGAGCAAUUGUUUCGCGAAUGAAUCUACUAUCGGAUGGGUAUGGCGUCCCACUGUGAAGAUCCGGCCAGAAACUCAGCGGGCUGAUCCGUACAUUACGUUGUAUGUCAAACUCUUUGUCGAGUGCGACGAGUACGAUUACUAGAGUCCCUAAGCCUGCUCCUAGUUUGGAGCUAAAGGCGACUAAUGAAGGAUCCAAUAGGAUCUGAUAUAUCCUUAGGGAAGUUAUGCAUUUCUUUACUGAGCGUGGCGCAUCUAAAGGACAUGCGGAUCAUUCUAUUGGUGUACUCUUGAUUCCGCGGAUCUCUACACGGGCAAACGAUUACGUCACGCGCAAUUUACCGCUCAAUUGGCGGCCAUCUUUCUAUUUAAUUAACCUCUGUACGAGUAUUUGGACUUUCGCUUUCAAACGCUACCUUCUCUCAACUAAUCACGCAAUCAAACAUAAAAUAAUUGGUUAGCUUGUGCAAAUGAUUUCUGAAGGUAGCGAUACAAAAAUAAAACAAAUCUAGAUAAUUAUAUAAUAUAAACUUUUACUUUACUUGAGUAAUAUAAAUGUUUUAUUUUA